rnacentral:rRNA from 1 species
GAGUUUGAUCAUGGCUCAGAACGAACGCUGGCGGCGCGUCUUAAGCAUGCAAGUCGAACGGUAAGGGAGAGCUUGCUCUCCCCUAGAGUGGCGGACUGGUGAGUAACGCGUGGGUGACCUGCCCUGAAGAUGGGGAUAGCUAGUAGAAAUAUUAGAUAAUACCGAAUGUGCUCAUUUACAUAAAGGUAAAUGAGGAAAGGAGCUACGGCUCCGCUUCAGGAUGGGCCCGCGUCCCAUUAGCUAGUUGGUGAGGUAAAGGCCCACCAAGGCAACGAUGGGUAUCCGGCCUGAGAGGGUGAACGGACACAUUGGGACUGAGAUACGGCCCAAACUCCUACGGGAGGCAGCAGCUAAGAAUCUUCCGCAAUGGACGAAAGUCUGACGGAGCGACGCCGUGUGAAUGAAGAAGGCCGAAAGGUUGUAAAAUUCUUUUGCAGAUGAAGAAUAAAACACAGGAGGGAAUGCCUGUGAGAUGA